ensembl:lncRNA
CACGCACACGCACACACAUGCACACACCCACACACCAAGACAUACCUUCCUGCAAAGCCUCAGAUAGACAACCCCCAAGCCCCAGGCACCCACGCUGAGUGGUGGGGGUGGGGGAGCCAGAUUGAAGUGGCCAGGGCAGGAGGAGGGAGCUGCAGAAAGACUGAGGGUGCAAAACAAACACAAGCCCAGCAGACAUUUCUCAGCCUGUUAAUUUCCUACAGUUCUGUUUUCCAGCCUCAGAAACAAGCUGGUUUCUGCCAGUUCACCCCCUUCCCCUGCCUGCACUGUGCAGCUGGUGAGCAGGGAGAAGUUGCAGGGAGGAGGGGGCCCAGAGGAGCUGGGAGGGGACUGGGUCCUCAUUUGAUUUAUAGAAGGACAGGCAAGAUGCAGAGAUGUCUCAGAAGCUGUGACUCCCCAAAGAGAAGCCCAACUGGAAGAUUUGCAGGCUGGACCAGUAUAACCAGACAAAGCUGAGUCUACAGGAGGAGGACGCCUGCAGCCACAUCUGCAGAAACCAGGCCACGGCAGCUCCUCCUACCAGGCCAGGAAGGGUGCCCUGGCUGUGGUCACCAUGUCCCGAGAGUCUCCUCCUUCAAGUCAGGAACCUUCCAGCCCCCUUCCACUCCACCUGCUAUUUCUGGGACUCUGCCUGGAGAGGGGGACAAAGCGGAGAUCAUCCUCCAGGCCAGCCAGCCUGUCCUUAACUUUUCCCUGCAAGAUGUGUCUGAGGGUGUGGAUGGAGAGCUGAAGGAAGAGAAGAUCGUCUGGGUUCUAAUCCCUCCUCUGUCUUGAAUUUGCUGUGUGACCUUGGG